AGAACGCUGAAGCUUGGUGCUUGCACCGAGCGGAAGAGUUGCGAACGGGUGAGUAACGCGUAGGUAACCUGCCUCUUAGCGGGGGAUAACUAUUGGAAACGAUAGCUAAUACCGCAUAAAAGUCGGCAUUGCAUGAUGUUGACUUGAAAGGUGCAACUGCAUCACUAAGAGAUGGACCUGCGUUGUAUUAGCUAGUUGGUGAGGUAACGGCUCACCAAGGCGACGAUACAUAGCCGACCUGAGAGGGUGAUCGGCCACACUGGGACUGAGACACGGCCCAGACUCCUACGGGAGGCAGCAGUAGGGAAUCUUCGGCAAUGGACGGAAGUCUGACCGAGCAACGCCGCGUGAGUGAAGAAGGUUUUCGGAUCGUAAAGCUCUGUUGUAAGAGAAGAACGAGUG
rnacentral:rRNA from 1 species